UGUUGACCUACCUGCUCGGCUGCUCCUAUACCCUUUCUCUCUCAUACAAUCUCCUCUAAGUCUCUAACCAUCCUACCCCUGUUUUUCCAUUUUAAUUAUCUGAAAAAUCAAGCUCGAUCUGCGAAUAACAUGGCACGAACCGCUGCGAAGAAGGAGACGUCUCGAAGCAAAAAUUCCAACAUUUCCAUGUCUCAAAUCUGGUUUAUCAAUCGAAGGUUGAGAGGCAAGCUUCAUCAAAGACGAAGUAUAAUUAAAGUUUAAUCUUAGUUGUUGGGAUGAAUUCGUGGAGGAAUCCGUGAAAUCAUUUCGUGCCGAUCUUGGAUCUACUCGUUAUUCGAUGAUAUCGGCAGUGUGAUCGAAAAUUAGUUCUCAAACUCACCGAUUACAUGGAGGCUGAAGCAAGCUGAACUUGCUGGUGCAGGAGUGGGAGAUAAUCGCUCAGUAGGGAGAUCUCAGUAUUUUUACUUUUGGUCUGAAUUGUAUACUUAAUAUAAAUUAUUAGAAAUACAAUGAUUGUUUCCCGUAUUGUAAGAUUUAUAAUGGUUAUUGUCCUUAUGUUUUAAGCCUUA